GCUGAGGUGGCCAAGUGGUUAAGGUAAUGGACUGCUAAUCCAUUGUGCCUUGUACAUGUGGGUUUGAAUCCCAUCCUUAGCA